UAAUGUCUGACUUUAGCGUCGAGCUAGUCGUGAAGACAGGUGAGUUGGUUUGUCUAUAAUGUCUGACUUUAGCGUCGAGCUAGCCGUGAAGACAGGUGAGUUGGUUUGUCUAUAAUGUCUGACUUUAGCAUCGAGCUAGCCGUGAAGACAGGUGAGUUGGUUUGUCUAUAAUGUCUGACUUUAGCAUCGAGCUAGUCGUGAAGACAGGUGAGUUGGUUUGUCUAUAAUGUCUGACUUUAGCAUCGAGCUAGCCGUGAAGACAGGUGAGUUGGUUUGUCUAUAAUGUCUGACUUUAGCAUCGAGCUAGCCGUGAAGACAGGUGAGUUGGUUUGUCCAUAUCGUCUGACUUUAGCGUCGAGCUAGCCGUGAAGACAGGUGAGUUGGUUUGUCUAUGUUGUCUGACUUUGUUUCUACUUUGUUUAUGUGUUUGUGUGUAUUUGCAUCUUCUCAUGGGGAGUUUGGUAUUUUUCUGUGUCUUUAGAUCCCAUCACUUCCUUACCGACGAACAGGUGGGCUCAGUCAGGUAAAUUCACAGAAUGUGAAUACAGUAGUUCUACUGCAGGGUUGGGCAACUGUGUGGAAUGCCUUUUGAAGGCCCUCGGAUUAAUAACACAAAUAUUAUAAUAAUAAAAAGAUAAUAUACAUAUUUUUUUUAACUCAGUCGGGGUCUCAACUUACUGUUGCUAGGUAGAAUAGUAGAAUACACAAGGUGCAAUUUGAAGAUGUGGUUGUCCAUCAGCAGUUUUUCUCUUGUUGUCAGUCACUGAUAGUCUCUUAAUUAGUCAUGUCAGAUUGCUAACUAAGUCUAACGGCCACCUAUCUAAAUUUAGGAAUCAUGGUGGAAUUACCAGCCAGGGGGCCCCAUUGACUUUGUUAUUCAGUCUCACUCAGAUAUUAUAUUAAAAACUACAAACAUUUCUCUCCACUCUAUGGCAAAAUGUGUAGAAUUACACCAAAUGAACUCUAAAAUAUAAAGAAAUGUCUCUCUAAUGUCAAGAGGGGGGCUGCUAAACUGUUUUGCUGACAAUGUGGUAGUGGUGGGGGUUAUGCACAUGUAGGUAUCAAACCCGCGAGCCACUCACAUUGAGUUCAGAUUCUUUGUGACCCCCCCACCCCAUCAAAGUUGCCCAUCCCUGCUCUAAUGAAUGAAAUCCAAAGAAAUUCUACAAUUUACUUUUCAAUUUUUUUUCAAACCUUGAAAUAAGAGACAAAAUAUCACAUUUUCCCCUCGAAUUUCCAUGUUCAAUUGAUAUCCUACUUGAUUGGAAUUGUAGCAGAAGAGAGUGACUUUGUCCUUUAAAAUAAUAAUAAUAAUAAUAUUCUACUGUGUAUGACAGUUGAUGUCUGUAAUUUUCCCUCCUAG
rnacentral:lncRNA from 1 species